GGAGGGAUAGCGAAGUGGCUAAACGCAGCGGACUGUAAAUCCGCCCUCUCAGAGUUCGAAGGUUCGAAUCCUUCUCCCUCCA
rnacentral:tRNA from 1 species